rnacentral:rRNA from 1 species
UAUAAAUUGAUAGGAUUUAUUUAUUAUUAUAUUUUAUUUUAUGUUAUUUGUGUUUAAAAUAAUUUUUUGCCUUAUAGUUUAAGUAUAGUUUAUUGAAAAGAUUAUUUAUAAUGAUAGUUUAAUAGUACCGUGAGGGAAUAUUGAAAUAAUUUGAAAAUUUAUUAAAAUUAAAGAAGUCUUUUUUUGGCGUACCUUGUGUAUCAGGGUUGAUUAAUUAAAAAAUUUUUAUAAAUUUUUCUCGAUUUUAGAAGAGCUAAUUUUCUAUAAUGGUUAUUGUGACAUAAUUAUUUUUAAUAGGUAAUUAGAAAUGAAACGUUAUUCGUUUUUAAAGGUUUCUAGUUUUUUAAGAAAUAAAUUUAAUUUAGCUUUAAAAAUUUUAAUUUUUCAAUUGUUUGAUGAUUUAAAGUUUUAAAGUAAUAAAUUACGGGAUUAGCUGUAGUUUAAAGUGAUUAAACCUUAUUAUGUGAUUAUUGAUGUAAGCUUAAGAAUAGCUAUCAUUUAUGAGUAUGUUAUAAUUUAUAUUAUAUAUGAUAUAAUUUAAUUUUGGGUUUAUUGAUGUAUUAAAAUAUCUUUUUUAAUUUUUUAUAAAGAUUAAUAAUGAUUAAAUUAGUAUAUUUUUAUUUAUAAUAAGAUGUUUUAUUAUUAGAUAUUAUAAAGGAACUCGGCAAAAAUAUUGCUCGCCUGUUUAACAAAAACAUGUCCUUUAGGUUUUUAUUUAAGGUCUGGCCUGCCCACUGAAAUUUGAAGGGCCGCAGUAUUUUAACUGUGCAAAGGUAGCAUAAUCAUUAGUCUUUUAAUUGUAGGCUAGAAUGAAUGGUCGGACGAGGUAAAAGCUGUCUCUAUAAUAAGUUUAGAACUUUAUUUUUGAGUUAAAAAGCUUAAAUGUUAUUGAAAGACGAGAAGACCCUAUAGAUCUUUAUUAUGGAAUUUAUCUAAGUAAUUAGGUUAUUUGAUUUAGGUGGGGUUUCAUAAUUUUGUUGGGGUGACAUUAAAAUUAAAUAAACUUUUAUUUGUUAUUUCAUUAAUUUAUGAAUUAAUUGAUCCUUUAUUAUGGAUUAUAAAAUUAAGUUACCUUAGGGAUAACAGCGUAAUCCUUUUGGAGAGUUCAUAUCGAUAAAAGGGGUUGCGACCUCGAUGUUGGAUUAAGAUAAUCUUUAGGUGCAGUAGUCUAUUGGUUGAGUCUGUUCGACUUUAUUUCUUACAUGAUCUGAGUUCAAACCGGCGUGAGCCAGGUUGGUUUCUAUCUUUAUUUAUAUAAAAUAUUUUAGUACGAAAGGACCAAAUAUUUAGUUUUAUAAUUUUUGUUUAAUUGAAUAAAAUUACUAUUUUGGCAGAUUAGUGCAAUAAAUUUAGAAUUUAUAUAUGUAAUUUU